rnacentral:tRNA from 1 species
UCCCUCAUAGCUCAGUCGGUAAAGAAUCUGCCUGCAACGCAGGAGACCCAGGUUCGAUUCCUGGGUUGGGAA